GGACGGGUGAGUAACACUUAGGAAUCUACCUAGUAGUGGGGGAUAGCUCGGGGAAACUCGAAUUAAUACCGCAUACGUCCUACGGGAGAAAGGGGGCAGUUUACUGCUCUCGCUAUUAGAUGAGCCUAAGUCGGAUUAGCUAGUUGGUGGGGUAAAGGCCUACCAAGGCGACGAUCUGUAGCUGGUCUGAGAGGAUGAUCAGCCACACCGGGACUGAGACACGGCCCGGACUCCUACGGGAGGCAGCAGUGGGGAAUAUUGGACAAUGGGGGAAACCCUGAUCCAGCCAUGCCGCGUGUGUGAAGAAGGCCUUUUGGUUGUAAAGCACUUUAAGCAGUGAAGAAGACCUAACGGUUAAUACCCGUUAGCGAUGACAUUAGCUGCAGAAUAAGCACCGGCUAACUCUGUGCCAGCAGCCGCGGUAAUACAGAGGGUGCAAGCGUUAAUCGGAAUUACUGGGCGUAAAGCGAGCGUAGGUGGCUUGAUAAGUCAGAUGUGAAAUCCCCGGGCUUAACCUGGGAACUGCAUCUGAUACUGUUAAGCUAGAGUAGGUGAGAGGGAAGUAGAAUUCCAGGUGUAGCGGUGAAAUGCGUAGAGAUCUGGAGGAAUACCGAUGGCGAAGGCAGCUUCCUGGCAUCAUACUGACACUGAGGCUCGAAAGCGUGGGUAGCAAACAGGAUUAGAUACCCUGGUAGUCCACGCCGUAAACGAUGUCUACUAGUCGUUGGGUCCCUUGAGGACUUAGUGACGCAGCUAACGCAAUAAGUAGACCGCCUGGGGAGUACGGCCGCAAGGUUAAAACUCAAAUGAAUUGACGGGGGCCCGCACAAGCGGUGGAGCAUGUGGUUUAAUUCGAUGCAACGCGAAGAACCUUACCUGGUCUUGACAUACACAGAAUCUUGUAGAGAUACGAGAGUGCCUUCGGGAAAUUGUGAU
rnacentral:rRNA from 1 species